rnacentral:rRNA from 1 species
UACGAAGGGGGCUAGCGUUGCUCGGAAUUACUGGGCGUAAAGCGCACGUAGGCGGCUCUUUAAGUCGGGGGUGAAAUCCUGGAGCUCAACUCCAGAACUGCCUUCGAUACUGAAGAGCUCGAGUCCGGGAGAGGUGAGUGGAACUGCGAGUGUAGAGGUGAAAUUCGUAGAUAUCGGAAGGAACAUCAGUGGCGAAAGCGACUUCCUGGACCAAUACUGACGCUCAUGUGCGAAAGCGUGGGGAGCAAACAGG